UUUGAGGGGGUGCUGAUUGAGAGGCUUACAUAUCUUGCCUUCUCUCUUAGCUUGUGCUUUACAUAUGAGCCAUUCUUUUUUUUGGUUUGUGAUUGCUCAUUUCAAUAUUGUUAGCACAUUUAACCCAUUCCUAGCUAACAAGGCUUACUAUAUUGAAGUAUAGAAUGUUCUCAAGGAAUAUUGACCAUGAAAAUCUUUUUCAAUAAUUCUCAAUAUAUCAAGCCUAAUGGCCAGAAGGUCAAUCAAUCACUUUCAGAUUUUGGAGACUCAAUUAACAAAAAAUUUACACGUUGGAGCUGAUUAAGGUAUUAAUAACUCUCAUGCUGAUCGCUUCACAUUGUUGCUAUGGAGACUGCUAAGCACAAGUCAAAGCCAUCACUAUUUUUUAGAAGCAUAGAAUAGAGCAAAGUGAUAAAAAGGGCUGAAAAUGAUCCAACAUAUUUCUUUGAUUAGUUGCAAGUUGAUUCCAACUCCAAAAUCUCAACCACUCUACAUGAAAUUAUUAUCCAUGAAUGGUUGAAAUUAGCAAGUUUAGAAAGGUUAACUACGGAGAUGGGAUAAUUAUUAUCAAAAGCCAAUAGUAUUGUCUCUUCUUAUACUCAUACUGUAGCAAUGGUGAACUGCUAAGAAAGUGAUCUAGAAUUAAUGUGGCAGUUUAUAGUGACGGUGCAUUAUGAUUCUUUUUACCUGACUCAGAUUACAAGCACACACCUAGAGUGUCCAUACACAUAUCCAAAGUUUUUGAUUGGCUCAUAUAGAUUCCUAUUCCAUGGUCUCAGCCCUACUCUCUUAAUUUUUUGUCUGACAUGGUCUUAGUCUCCUUCUUUCUCUCCCUUGUCUCAACAAUGUGAUAGACACCUACAUACCUCGAGUUCUACUAUCACAAUUGCCUAAAUGAUUUGCAUAUGUCUCUUUCAACUAUAAGAAAGCCUUGCAACAUUCAAUAAUUACUUUUAUUUGUAUAGUGAUCCUACAACAAUGUGUUGGAUGUAUUGCAGUUGAGUGUGCUUAGGAAUGAAUGGGAAGUAUAGGUUGGAAAAAUUGAUACUCCUUGCUUUUCCUUGCUUGAAGAUUCAUGAUUGUAUAUAAGUUGAUUCUUACAACUAUGGACCACGUAGUGUGCACAUCAUUCAAUAUUCAUUCCAAUCAAAGGUCAAGAAAUUUGGCAUUGAUAAAAAUGUACCUGAAAUAGCCCCUCAGAAAUUCAACACCAUUAUCCUUAGGUUGGCUAAGGCAUUUUUUCAUUAUCCGCAAAAGACAUAAUGUUGUUUAGCUUCCCUAAGGGAGAGAAUGGGAGACACACUAGAUGACUCAUGAUUUAACGUAGAAGUACAGAGAGAGUGGAAUCCUACUAGGUCAAGAGGCAAUCUAUGACAGAGCCUAUAGACUAUUGCAAGUGCAAUGCAAUUCAAAGGACAUAAAUCAAAGUCCUAGUAGCUAAAGUCUAUACAAAAUUGGCGUAUCUUCACCAACAAUAAAGGCAUCAUGUGGUUUUCUAAGAGAAGCCUAUAUUGAAGGAUUUGUAUGAAACACUUCAUAACUUACACUAAUUUUUGGCUAUCAACUCUGUGUAGAUUGGUGAUUGUAUUCUUACAAGAACUAGGUUUGAAGAUAUCUAUGAUUGAUUGUUGUUUAGUGAGAACCGUGAUAACAAAAAUAUCGGUGUCAUUUUCAAUCAUAUUCAAGCUAAUGUAUGAGCCAGAUCAAAAAUCCAUGUGAAUUGUAAUCAUUUUGAUGAACAUUAAUAUACAGAUUUAUAUCAAAUAUAUUCAUAAGUUCAAAGUAAUGAGUGCAACGGACUUGAUGCUUAGCCUUAAUAUUAAAUCCACACCAUUUAUGGAAUAGAGAAAGGGAGUGAAUGUGAAAAAAGUAUUGACCUAUAUUUUUCUUUUUCUUUUUUUUCUUUAUUUCUUUUCUUAUUGAGUAGAUUUCAAAUGGCUUCAAGUAUUGGAAUAGAACAUGUAAUACCAUGAGAAAUUUGAAGGAUAAUUUCUUGAAUAAAAUACCACAUUAUUUGAUUAUAAUUAGACAACAAAUUAUUGUUUCAAUUCAACUUUUGUAUUGAUGCUACAUAGGUUGAUUAAAAUUUUAGAGGUGGCAAUUGGAAUGCCAUGAGAUAGAAGAGAAGUAUGUGCUAAUAGAUAGAGCUAAGCCUUGACUAUCAGAACAAGGACUAUGGCACCGAGAUCAACAAAUUUGCUAGCAAUAACAACACCACUGAGGCAAAGAAGAGAAGAAAGGGGAUCUAGAUGUGAGUUCGAGGAAGGGAAGAAAAGAAGAAGAUUAAGAUCUAUACCUACGAAAGGAAAAGGAAGGGGGUUGGUACCAAUACAUGGGCAAGAGAGAAAAAUUGUUGAUCAAGAUCUAUAUGAGGAGAAAGAAAAAGGGAUCUAGAUGAGUCAAUUAGAAACCUUGGGUGUGCGUAUAGACAUGAUGGAUGUACCUACAACAACUUGAAAUGUGCUUUUAGUAUGAGUUUUUUUUACAUUGAUCUAUCUAUUCUAAAAAAUGGAGUUAAAAUCAAAAAUAGGAAUUUAAUAUUUUUAUGCAUCUAAACUAUUAUAAUCAUUAAUUAUUUAAUAUAAUACUAUUAAUUUUGAUAAUUUUAAUUAUACAAGUAUAAUCACUAUUAUGUAUAUAUAUAUAUAUAUAUAUAUAUAUAUAUAUAUAUAUAUAUCAAAAUUUUAUUAUAUAUAUUUUUUAUUCUUUAUUUUUAAUAUUAAAAUAAAUAAUUAUAUAAAAAUUAGAUAGAAGUAGAAAUCAAUAAUUCUAUAUUAUCUAAUAAAUUAUCAUAAUAAAUAUAUGAUAUUUUAUAAUUAGCAUAGUCAAGCAUUUGAUUUUAGAUAAAUUUAGCUUUAAGUAAGUAUGCAUGAUUUUUUAUUAUCUACUUAUAUUAUAUCAUUUUGAUUUGAUUUUUUUAAUAACUUCUUUUAUUUUAUUUUAUAUUUUUUAUUGAUUUUAAUAUAAAAAAAUAAAUAUAUUUAUAAAUUCAUUAUAUUUAAAAAAUAUAAUUUUAAAAUAUUCAUAUUUUAUUUUACUUCUUAAAUCAAACUAUGUAUCUUAAAGUACUUUUUAACUUCUUCUACCUCUUAUUAAAGACUAUCUUGUAACUUUCUUGAUUAUAUCCAAUCCAUCAAAAAUUAUACAUUUUUAAAGUAUUGCUAACCAAAACUAAAAAAUUGGUCUAAUUUUUUAAUAAAUAUAUCAAAAUAUUAGAUAAUUUAGAAUAUCUAAGUUGGUUAUUAUAAUAUCUACCAAAGUAAGAAUGGGCAUUGUCGUAUUAUGUGUUGUCUUGCUUGACAAUGCAUUAGGCAUCUAGCUGUAGAAGAUGAGGUUGUGUUUCACAAACAUCCAAAAAAUCUUAAUAGAUUUUAUCCAUAUGAGAAGAAUAUAAUUCAAAUUCCAAUUCAAAAGUAUUAAAAACACUCUUCUUAGUAGCCUCAAUCACACAUAAACUUCAAUUACCUUGUUACUUUCAUAUUUAAGCAAUUUAGAUUUUUCUUAUAAGCCCCAAUUCUAAUCAAUGAGCUUUAGCAAGCUAUAACUUCUAAUUUGACUGUCCACUUGAUGUAAACAUUUGCAUGCAAUCGUCAAUAUAAGUCUUCUAUAUGCUCAAGAAUUUUCAGCCCAAUCCAAUUUAUAGAUUGUAAAGAAACCUUCAAAAAUUGUACUAAUAUCACUCGACCACCAACUUGAAAAGUAAAGAAAAAAUCCCAGCAGUGAUUUCUCCUUCUUUAACCAUUAACUUUGACUCAAAAUUGGUGUGCAAUUUGAUCUUCAAGUCCUUCAAUACUAUGCUAAAUUUCACCUCGAUCUGACUAGUUAUCUCCAAAUACCAUAGAAACCCUAUUCAAUCCCAAAUUGCCAACUUUUGAAACCCUCUUAUGCUAAAAACCAAAUAUCUCUAAAUCACACCAUUAGAUUAUUACAAAAUUUUGUAUAUACUUAGCACAUCCAAUAAUCCAAAUGUUUUCAAAUUUUAAACUAUAGAUGUUACACCAAUUGCACGAACUAACCAAAAUUACUAGCCUUAGUUAUAUCAUAUAAAAUCCAAAUCAACAAUAUAAACCUUGACUUUGAAUAAUAAUUUUUAAGUCCUCAAAAAUCCUAUAAAAAGAAUACUUAUGCCAUUGAAAAGAGCUUUAAGCUAGCUCUCAAAUCCUAAACUCCGAUCUUCAAAUGCCUCCUUAAUUUGUCCUAGGCAAUUGUUUUAGUAACUAGAAGUCUAAUUUCGACCCAGCCUCACAAACAGUCGACUCUUAGGUAUCAAUCUAAUCUAUCCUAAGGAUUUUAUAGCCUAAUCAUACCCUCAACUUGACCCUAGUAUCAACCAUACCAACCAUUUAUCUCUUCUAUCCUGAUUUUAAUAAUUUAUGGCCUUUCUAAGGUAGUAAAAAAGUUUCUAUGUCCUAGAAGGUAAAAAUACUAACUAAUUUUUAUCUACUUGCUAUUAAGACAAGAAAAUAGGCUAAAAGGCUUUCAUAAAAGUCUUAUUAAAAUAUUUUGAAUUCUUAUUAAACUAAUAUAAUAGAGUAUUAAUUUAAAAAUCAUUUUUUGUCGUAUUUUUAUCAUAUAAUUGUAUUACAACAUGAUAGUUUAAAUUGUUGUAAUAGAUUCCACAACUAUAAUAAGUUCUAAUUUGUAUAAAACCUAAUACAUAAUAAAUUCUAAUUAUAUUCCCAAAAUUUUACAACUUUAAUCUUAAAAUAUUCAAAUUUUAGUCUUUAGAUGUCUUAAGCUAAUUUUAAAAAUUUUAAAUCACAAUUCUAAUAUAUUUUGAGUUGAAAUCAAUAGAUUAAAUUCUAUAUUAAAUACAUUAUAAUUUUAAUUUGAAUAAUUUAAUUUUAAUCUUAAAAAUUAGAAAUCCUAAUACUUAUUAUAUCUAGAUUAAUCUUAAAAUCUUGAUUUUCAAUCUUUAAAAAAAACUAUAAAUUUUAUUAAUCUUUGUAUAUUUCAAUAAAUCUAAAAUAUCUAGCAAAUUUUAUUAAAAAAAAUUGAUAUAAGCUUAUUUACACAAAAUAAUUUUGUAUUAACAUUUUAUUGAUUCUAAAAUAAAAAUUGGUUAUGACUUACUUAUUAACUGAAGUAAAUGUCUAUUAGAAUUUGAAUUUGUAAAAAAAACUAGAAAUACAUUCAAAUUGUAUAUUUUUAUUUUUUUUUAUGAUUUUUUUUAAUUAAUGAAUUUUCAGCAAUGAAUUGGUUUUUUGAAGUAUAAUUUAACUUUAAAAUAAAUAAAUUACUAAAAAUAAAUAAAAAAAGAUUAAAAUAAAUUAAUACUUAAAAUAAAUAAUUAUAUUGAACAAAUUUAUUAAUACAAAUAGAUUUAAAAUAAAAAAAUAAAUUAAAUUCAUAAGGAAUAAUAUAUUAUUAUAUUUUUUAAAAAAAUAAAAUAACUAAGGCUUUAUAAUUGAUAUUAUUUGGAUGUUAUUGAUUAUAUUUACUAAUAUUUAUUUCAAAUCAAAAUAUAUUAUUUUAUUUAAAAUUUUAAAUAUAUAUAUUUAAUAAAAUUAAAAAAAUUAAUAAUAUAAUAUCAAAUGUUGAUAUUAUAAUUUAUGAAUCAUUUUAUACAAUCUAAUAUUAAAAAUAUAGAGUUGUAAGAACUUGAGAUUGAAAGAUCUAUGAUAAAAUCUAUAGAAAUAGAUAAUUAUUAUUGUUUUGGUAUAGAUAGUGAUUUAAAAAGUCUGUAGUAUUAGUAACAAAGACCUUUUUAUUUAAAAAAAAUAUCACACAAUUUAUCAAAGUCUUAAAUUACCUUCUAAUUUGAGGCCAACAAAAAUCUCUUGAAUUUAAUUCUAAUAUCCAUCUCUUGAUAAAUUUCUUGAUAAAUUAAAAUUAAUCUUAAGAGGUUAGCAUCAAAUGUUAUAUAAAUAUUUCAAUUUUGAUAUACAUUUAUAAAUGCCUUAGAUAGUAUAAUCUAGAUUGUAUAUUUCUUAUAAAUUUAUAAUUAUAUAGAUCCUUACUUGAUUUAAUUCAUCAAAAAGUCAUGAUAUCAAAGAUAGAAGGUACCUAUUUUUGAUAGUAAUCUUAUUUAAUCCUUAAUAAUCUAUUCACAUCCAUAAUAAUCUGUCUUUUUUCUUCACAAACAAGAUAAAAGCUUUUUCUAAAUAUUUUAAAUGGCAUAUGACGUUUUUGGCUAUGUUUUCAUUAAUGUAGUCUUUUUAAUAUAACAAAUUUAUUUUGUAAUAAGCUUUAAAUUUAUUCAAUUGCAAUUGAGUUCUUUUAUAAAGAUCAAUUAAAAAAUCAUAAGAAUAUUUAUUUAAAAAAAUAUUUUUAUAUUUCUUUUCAAAAAAAUCUUGAUAACUUUUACAUUGGAUUGUAGUGCUACUUGAAGUCUUGUUACUUUUAAAAAUAGGUGUAGCAUAAAUAAUUUUAUAAAAUUUUUCUUUUAUAACAUACAUAAAAGCUCUUGCAUCUACAAGUAAGAAUUUGAUUGUAUUAGAUUUAGGACUUUCUACUUGAUUAGCAAAAGACUAGAUUAUUCUACAAAAAAAAUUGAAAUUACAUGAAAUCUAAUCUAUCUUAGAAUUAAGUUUUUUGUAGUCUCAAUAAACUUUAAAUUAUUGGAUUAAAGAGAUAUUUAAUAAAAAUAAAUAUUAUUAAACUACUAUAAUCAUUUAUUAUAAAAUUUAUAUAAAUAGUUUCAUAGAUGACAUCUUGAAAAGACAAAAACAAAUGGCAAUAUAUGAUUUUUACAUGCACAAGCUUAGCUUUCUUUAUUAAGAACAUACUACGUCUUUUAAAAAAUCUUUAUCUCAAAAAAUAAGUUAAAACUCUUAAAUCUAAUAAGAUAAAGGCUUGGUAGAUUAAAGAUCCUAAACAAAUAUCUAUUAUAAAAUAAAAUAAAGAUUCUAAAAAUAAAAAAAAAUAAGAUUUAGACUAAAUUUUGUAUAAAAUUCUAGCUAUAAGAUUCUUAUUACAGCUGAAUAAUUUUUUUAAUACAUUAAUUUUAUUAACAACUAUGCUCCUUAUUUUUGGUUGUAUUAUUUUUUUCGAAAAUAUUAAGUAAUAUUUUUAGAUUCUCUACAAUACCAAUACAAUCUUUUUUAAUAAUAAUGAUUUUUUUUUUUUAGAAAAAAAAUUAAAAUAUACCAUGUAAAUUUCUAUAGAUUUUCAUCUUGAUGAAUAAGUUUUUAAAAACUUAAUAUUUGUUGUGAAAAAUUGAUUUGUUCUUCUUUAACCAAAUCUUUUUUCUUGGCACCUUUUAAAGAGUUGAUUUUACAUGAAAUGGCUUGAGCAAUAAAUUAUUCCAAUGAAUUUACUUUUAACAUUUUUAAUAUUAAAUAUUUUCUUUUAAUGCAUAUUGAAAUUAAUUGAUAAAGACUUUAUUCUUUCAAUCUACAUCGUAAGCAAGGUUUUGGAAUUCAAUACCAUAAAUAAUAGUUGAUUGUAACUCUUCUUGUUAAAAAAAAUGAUUUUUUUCUUAUUUUUUUAAAAUACUUUUCUUUGAAUAUGGCCAAAAAUACUUCUAAAAAUGGAUUUAAAUCAUCUAUAAUGUAUAUUCCUUCUAUCUCUAUAAUUAAUAAUUUUCGCAAAUUUAUAAGUCAAAUCAAAGAAAGAUAUUUUAUAACCUUUAAUAUUAUAUAAAUAUUUCUAUAAAUAAAUAUAGUUUAUUUUUAAAAAUAAAAAAAUAAAUAUUUGAAAAUAAAAAAUAUAUAAAUUUAAAGAUAGAUAAUUUAAAAUCUUUAAAACAUGACAUUAAAUUAAAAAUAAUCCAUACUUUUCUAAAAUCAAAAUAAGUAUAACAUAUUAGUAUUCUUAUCAAACUAUCAAAGAUAUGAAUCAUAACAAAAUUCUAAAGAAAUAAUAUUCUUUUGAUACAAGAAGAGAGAAAGUAAACAAAUCAAAGAUGUGUGUAUGAUAGAAAAUAGAAUAAUCAUUGCUAAAUACAAAGAAACUAAAUAUUUUAAAGCUAAAACAAUAACAUAACAAACGCAUUGAUAAGAAUAAGAAAGGUCUUAUUUUUUCCUCUAUAUAUACUAUUUAAUCAAGAAGAUAUAUGAUAAUAUUUUAAAUUUUAUUUAGAUACAUUUCAUUCUAAAUUAUAUGAAAUAUUUCCAAUAUAUGCAAUUAUAAUUAACUUUUAAAGAAAGUUUUCAACAUGAACAACAUGUGGCCAAUUUUUUGACAGAGUUUUCAACCUAUUAAUGUCAUGUAAAUACUUACAUAAUCGAAUCCACAUCUAACAUACUUUUAAGAAGCUUUUCUAUAAGUUAUUAUCAAAUUGAUUUACUUCUACUUAAUUUUUUCAAAUUCCUUUUAUCUUUAUUAUAGUUGGUAUGUCCAUGAUACAAAGCUAUUAUAACUAUAUUAGAAUCAAAAAAAAAAUCAAAAAAAAAUCAAAAAAAUAAAAAGAUUGCAUAAUAUCAAUAACUCUAUACUUUCAUGUUGCUAGUAUGUAUUAGAGUGAUGUCAUAGUGUAUAAAAAAGUGAAAAUAGAAGAAAUUUGAAGAAAAGAAAAAAUACCAAAGUAGAUUUAGAAGAAUCAAAACAACUGACAUAUAUUUUCACAUACCAACAACUUAAUUAUUUUUAUAUGCCUUACUUCUACUCUACUAUAGCUCACCAAUAAGCAAACAGUUCACUUCUUUAACAAUUAUAGAUUACAUUCUUUCAACUCAAGCCUAUGCAAAUCUUUCUUUGCACAAAAAUAUUAUAUCAAUUCAAAUAUACUAAAUCUUUUUUAGAUGCAUAAAAAUAUCUUUAAAAUCAACAACAAUCUAUUUUAUCUAAAGUGGCUAGCUAAAGAAAUAACAAUUUUUAACCAUCUUUUGCUUUUAUUCAAAUUAUUUAUUUUUUUGAUUAUUAUAAAUCAUAGUUAAUAAUCUAAUUUACUUAAGAAAUUUUUUUAUAUUAAAAGAUUUUUUAUUAUAAGACUAAAAAAAUGAACUAUCAAGGACAUGAAUUUCAAAGAAAGAAAAUCUCAAUACACUCUUGUAUCACUCAAAAAGACUACGAAACCACUCAAAGAUGAUAAUAUAUUGAACUUGAAUGGUUAUUACUAAAGACAAGAAGUCUAGAAAGUCUUAAAAUAAGACUAAAGACUAUAAAGGCAUUGACAAGAGUAAAGAAGGAUUCACUCUUUCCUCCAUAUAUAUACUAUCUAACCAAGAGCUAUGUAGCAAUAUUCUAUAGGACCUUGAAAACGUGUUGACUUUAUAAAAUACAUAUUUUAACUUAUAAGAAAAGUUUUUUAUAUGAGCGCCACAUAUUUAGCUUAUUUUAUAAGCUACCAAUACAUGUUACAUAUGAUUAAUUUAUUGACUAAGUUUCUAACCUAUCAAUCAAUUACAAAUACAUGUAAAAUCAAAGCAAUGUCUAUAAAGCUUUCAAGAAGCUUCUCCAAAAAAUAUUAUAAAAUAAAUUUACUUUUAUCUACUUCUACUUAAUCAUAUAUAUAUAUAUAUAUAUAUAUAUAUAUAUAUAUAUAUUAAAAUAAGUAUCUAUAUCCAUGACAUUACCUUCUUUCUAAGGAAGCCAUCAUAAUUUCUUUCAAAUAAAAUAUUUGAAACACUGUCAAGAAUUGUUCUUACAUCUAAUAAAAUCUCCAAAUAUUGGGAGUCUCUUCUAAGGUUAUGAUAUUAAAUAUGUUGUAUUUUUCCAUCUAUUCUAUGAAAGACAUAUCAUUUUUGAAAAUUCUUCAUCUCCAUUAUAUCGUCUGAAAAAUUGUGACAAUUGCAAUGUUUCAUCCAAUAACUCAGUAAGUGAUAGCUCUUGAGUUGAAUUUGUUGAUUAUUCAUUUUGCAUCUCUUUAGCAUCACAUAUAUAUAGAAGUUACAAACAAGAGUAGAAAAUAGAAUGCUAUCUUUUCUACAUUUUGUUUCUUUUAUAGCAAAGAUUUUCUAUUCUUUACUUUGAUUUAAAUGGAUGUUGUCAAUAAAAAGCAUCAAUCUUCUUUAUUGCUUUUGUAAGAUUUUUCAUUGGCUUCCAUGUACAUUCACUAAUAUCAUUUCCAUGCCAAUAAACAAGCUAUUCUAAUCUAUUUUGGCAUUGCCUAGAAUCUAAGACUUCUUCUAUCUUGAAUUCUUGAUAAUUCUUUACUUCUGUAGGAGAAAGUAGUAUUUAUCUUCUUCUAGAGAUAUUCAUUGUUUUAUAUGAUUUAAGAAUAGACAUGUAGAAUAUAUAAUAGAUCUUCAUAGACUUUGAUAGAUAUAAUUGAUAAGGAACAACAUUGACUUAUUCACAAAUAAAAUAAAAUAAAAUAAAAUAAAAAAAUCCAAACCUAUCAUAAUCCAACUUAUUACAAUAACAUAUAGUCUUGAUAUUGUUACAAAGUAACUAUACCUUUUCACUUAUGUUGAAUUGUGGUUGUUCCUUGUCAUAGGCAUUUACAUUGAUCUUUUAUCAUUCUUGAGCUUUUUUUAACUAUGCCUUUAUUAUUGUAUGUAGCUCUAACAAAUAAUUUGUAAAAUCUUUUGCCAUAGGAUUACAAACUUUUGAAAGGUCAAAAGUAUCAAGUCAAGAAUGAUAACCAUAAUUGGUAAAAAAAGAUGUUUGUUGAAUAGAAGAAUGUAUUGAACUAUUAUCUUCAUGAUAAUUGAUGGUACACCUCAAAUAUUGUUCUAGAACUUGAUUCAUCUAUUUUGUUUGUCCAUCAGUUUAAGAAUAAAAAGCCAAAGAGAGUUUUAUAUCUACCUUUAAAAUCUUAAAAAAAAAAUCUCCAAAAUCUAGAUAUAAAUUGAAUCUUCCUAAUUGAUAUAAUAUCCUUAGAUAAUCCAUGAUACCAAUAGAUAUUGUCAAGAAAAAGCUUAGCCAUUUCUUUACUUAUCAUACUUUUUAUACAUAGUAUAAAAUAUGUUAUCUUGAUAAAAUAAUAUACUACUACUAAUAUAAAAUCAUACAAACAUGAAAUUAAAAGAUCCAUGAUAACAUCCAUAGAACCAAAAUCUAUGGUUGUUUCAAAAUAGAUAAUGGCUGAAGAAGUCCAUAAGGUCAAUGAUGAGGAGUUUUAAAUGUUAAAAAAAAUAUCACAUGAUUAUAUAAAGUCUUUGACUACCUUCCACAUUUGAAGCUACUAAAAAAUAUUAGAUAUUAGCUCUAGGAAGUUGUAGAAGAUUCUAGAAGGUUCUAGAGAAGCUUUGUAGUUUGUAGAAGCUACUUGAGAAGUUUUUAUGGUUGUAGAAGCAGCUUGAGAAGCUUCCUAACUCAUAGAAGCUGCUUAAGAAGCUUCUUAGCUUGCGGUAUAUAUAGGAACCAACAUUGAGGGGAUCCUUAGUCUCGACAAUACACCUCUUAGAGCUCUAGCUCACCUCUCUAGUGUUGUUUUUAUAUUCAUUUGAUUAAUCUAGUCUUGCUCAUUCUUCUUGAGCUUUUUCUUUAGAUUUUCAGUCAAUAUUCUAAAUUCGUAAUAAUUUGUCAAGACUACACUCAUCUUACAUAUCAGAGCUAGUUCCUUCUUAUUAGAGUGUGGAUUAUCCCUCUACUUGAAGGUGUUGGCAUUUUAGAGGUUGUGGAUUACCCUCCUCUAAACUAAUAUUUUUUCUAUUAUAAUAUUAGAGUCUAAUCUUCCUUGGAGAGAGUGGAUUAUCCCUCUUCUUGAAGAUUUAAGGUGUUUAAGAGGUCAUAGAGUACCCUCCUCUAAACCAAUAUUGUCUUCUUGUAGAGUCAUUUCUUUCCUUCUUUUAAAAUGGCCUGAGGUCAAGAUAUUAGUAUGGCUGAAAGUUCGGAGUCCAACUUGGACACCAUUAUGAAUGCUCUUACUAUGUUAUCAUAGAAAAUUGUAGAGAUUGAAGGAAUCAUUGCAAGACUUCAUAAUGAUGGAGCAUCUGGGAUGGCACAAUCAAAGAUUCACCAGCCUCAAGCUGUAGCACCAAGAGAAGUAGCUUUGCCUCUAGUUCAACAAGGACUAUUGAUCUUACAAUGAAAAGAGCCCCAAAUUAGUCUUCUAGACAAGUUCAAUGGUAUGCGUUCUAAGUUUCGAGAUUUUGUCAACCAAGUUAGAUUGAUAAUAGCUCUCUAACUUGAACGCUAUCCGACAAAGGAGUUACGUCUUGGAUUGGUUGGAACUUUGCUCACGGGACAAGUUCUAUCAUAGUUUGCUCAUUUAUUUGAGAAAAGAUUGUCAAUUUUGAACAACUUUGAAACUUUUUUGAAGGCGUUUGUAGAAACAUUUGGCAAACAUGACAAGGCGCAAUGGACUACAACAAAGAUCCGAUCGCUACGACAAGGGGUACGCUUUGCGUCAGUCUACAUAUCGAAUUUUAGACAAUUAGUGUGUGACAUCAAUUGGGACGAGAAAGCAUUAAUGAGUCAACUUUAUUAGGGCUUGAGGGAUGACAUGAAGGAUUUGUUAUUAUCUCUUUUCGAUCCACGAAUGCUCAACAAAGCCAUUAGCCAAGCUAUGAAGUGCAAUAACCGCCUAUUUCAACAUCGCCAAGACCAACACUCAAGACAAUAUAAGGCUCACCAUGCUCCAACUAUGUCAGCAAGUAGCCUCAAUUCACAUUCAGACAUGGAAGAUAUACAAAUUGACGCAGUACAUGUCAAAUCUCUAAGUUUAGAAGAAAAAAAAGUAACAUAUGGAGGAAGGACUAUGCUUGUAUUGCGGUGAAGAACGCCAUAGAGCUGGAAACUGCUCCAAGAAGCAAAAUCGACGCAUUGUCAAGAUCAAAGGCACAUUUAUUUAGGAAAACAAAGAUGCCCAGCCACAAUAAGGAUCGUGUGGCUGGACAAUUCAAUACCACAACAACAAUCAGGUUCCUCUCUUUUCGCUCAGCUUGUCCAUUGCUUUACCAUUCUUCUAUCUUUUGGCCCUCAAAAACUAAAAACCAUAGCAUUAUUAGAUUCAAAAGCAUCUGCUUACUUUCUAGAUGAAGAAUUUGUUAAGCAUCACGAGAUUCUUCUAAUACAAAAAUCUAAAUCCGUUCAUGUAGAAGUAAUAGAUGGAUGACUUUUAUUGUUUGGUAGUGUCACCUAUGAAUCAGAACCUAUAGAGGUGACGUUUAAAGACCAUAGUAGUUAUAUUAUUUUUAAUAUUAUUAAAAUCCCGUCAAAUCCUAUUAUUCUUAGUCUUUCUUGGUUAGAAAUGCAUAACCCAUCCAUACAUUGGAGAUUACGAAAGAUGACAUUUCUUAUAGAAUAUUUUGAGAGUAAGCUUGUUAGAAAAUUCCAAAUCAAAAAUCCUUAUUUAUUGGAGCAAGAGCAUUUAUUACAUCGUCUAAGGAAGGCACACCAUUUGUCAUUUAUGUGACUUCAACUAGGAGAGAGAAGAUUUUGAAAGCAAAUAUACUGGAGCAAUAUAAAGAUUUUGAAGACGUGUUUGAAAAGAAGAACACCGACAUGCUACCGGAGCAUCGACCAUAUGAUUGUGCAAUAGACUUGCAGGAAUGAGUAUAACCACCUUAUGGCCCAAUCUACAAUUUGUCGCAGAUAGAGUUAGCAGAGUUGCAAAAGUACAUUCACGAGAAUCUAACCAAAAACUUCAUUUGUCAUUCGAAGUUGCCAACUGGGGCACCAAACUUAUUUGUGAAGAAAAAAAAUGACUCGCUGCGGAUAAGCAUGGAUUAUUGAGAUCUCAACAAGGUGACAAAGAAGAAUCGUUAUCUAUUAUCGUUGAUAUCAGGUCCUCUAGAAUAUCUUGGGCGUGCAAGGAUCUUUAUAAGGAUUGAUCUAAGAGGAGCUUACAACCUCGUGCGAAUCAAGGAAGGAGACAAAUGGAAGACAGCUUUUUGUACAAGGUAUGGCCAUUUUGAAUAUAAUGUCAUGUCUUUUGGUCUUAUCGAUGCUCUGGUGAUCUUUCAACACAUGAUGAAUGACAUCUUUUAGGAGCACCUUGACGAUUUUGUUGUCAUCUAUCUAGAUGAUAUUUUGAUAUUUUUCAAGAACGUAGAAGAGUAUGAAAAAUACGUUCGUCUGGUCCUUGAAAAAUUCCACGAGCGAGGACUUUAUGCCAAGUUGGAGAAGUGCUUGUUUAACCAAAUUGAGAUGGAAUUUUUGGAAUUCAUCGCAACUACGGAAGGCUUGAAGAUGGAUCCUACGAAGGUCGAAGGAAUCGUAUCAUGGAAAGUUCCAAAGACGAUUAAAAAUGUACAAUGUUUUCUUGGCUUUGCUAACUUCUAUUGAAUCUUCAUCAAGAAUUAUUCUCAAGUUGCUGCUUCGCUCACUUGGUUGACAUGUAAAAACAAGCUUAAAUGGGGACCUCUAGUGAAAAAAGUAUUUUAAGAUCUUAAAACGACAUUUACUAUGGCUCCAAUCUUGGUACAUUCGGACUUUGCAAAGGCCUUCUAUUUAAAGACUCAUACUUCAGAUUUUACUAUGGUAGUUGUACUUUCACAGAUAGGCAUAGACGAGAAGCUUCAUCCGGUUGCAUUCUAUUUUUUAAAGUUUUUUGCUGCUGAGAUCAAUUAUGAGAUCCGUUGUAAAGAACUUCUUAUGAAAGUGGUUUCUUUCCAAUUGUAGUGUCACUUUUUCAAAGAAGUUACACAUCUCGUGAUCGUAUAUAUGGAUCAUUAGAAUUUGGAAUACUUCAUGUCCACUCACGUUCUGAAUCGUCGUCAAGCUCGAUGGAAUAUGUUGCUAUCUAGGUUUAACUUUUUUAUUACUUAUUGGCCUGAGAAGCAACAAGGACUAUCCAAUGCAUUAUCAAGGAAAUCGUAUCUAGCGCCAAAGGCUGGAGAAGCAGCGUUUGAUCAACAGUGUACAAUAUUAUUGAAGUCGGAAUAAUUCAGGAUUUGUUGUGCUAUAGUGCCAAUUGAUGUUGACUUCCUCAACUAAGUAGAUACUGCAACUAUUGGAGAUUCUAUAGGCCUUGAUAUCAUGCAACAUGUCAAUAAUGACAAGUUCAAGGUGGAAGGAGAUCUUUUAUACUUUGAGGAACAGUUGUAUAUUCCAAAGGAACCAACACGACUCCAAGUUCUCCAAUCUCAAUACAACUUUCCAACUGCAGGACAUUUUGGAUUCAAUAAGACCUUGAAACUUAUUUCUCGAGAUUUUUGGUCGCCCCAAAUGUGGAAGGAUGUCAAGGAUUUUGUCCUCUCUUGCGACAUUUGUUCAAGAUGUAAGAAUCCUCAGCAUCGUCUUUAUGGUCUUCUUCAGCCAUUGCUUAUUCCACGUCAACCAUGGUCUUUAAUUUCCAUAGACUUCAUUACGGACCUGCCGCCAUUGAAUUCAUUUGACAACAUCUUUGUUGUGGUAGAUCGGCUUACAAAGAUGGCAUACUUUGUCCCUUGCAAAAAAACAUCGUCAAACAAAUAUACAGCAAGGCUCUUCUUUGAUAGUGUGUAUCGAUAUCAUGGUUUACUACAUGAUAUCGUGUCUGAUAAAAGAACCCAAUUUGUAUCAAAGUUCUAGAGAUCUCUCUUUGAGAUAUUGAAGGUGGAUAUCAAGAUUUCUUUGGCUUUCCAUCUUCAAACUGACGGCCAAACGGAACAAGUGAAUCAAACUUUGGAGUAGUAUUUACGAUGCAACAUCAACUAUCAGCAAGUUGAUUGAACUGCAUAUCUAUUAUUAGUCGAGUUUGCAUAUAACAACAUCCUUCAUGCAACGACUUAACAAACACCAUUCUUUUGCAACUAUGGAUAUCAUCUGAAGCUUAAUUUGUUGAAUCCGUCAAGUAAUAACAACCCGACAAUUGAAAGAUUUGUAAAACAACUAUCGAAGCUUGAAACUACGUUGAAGCUUUAAUUAAAAACUACCCAAGAAGCUUACAAGGCGUCCGUAGGUGAAUUUUGGAAUCAAGCACUUACUUUCAAAAUUGGAAAUAAAGUAUGGCUGCUUCGACGAAAAUAUCAAAACCAAGCAGUCAUACUUCGAAUAUCAAAACCAAGCAGUCAUGUGAUAAGUUGGACUACUAGAGAUUAGAACCAUUUUUUAUCCAGAAGCAAAUCAAUCUAGUGGUGUAUCGUCUGGGAUUAUCGGUUGCUAUGAAGAUAUACCCAAUCUUUCAUGUUUCUUUGUUGGAGCCUUAUCAAGAGUUGUCUUGUUUUAAAAGAGUGUAAUAUCUGCCACCUAGUAUUGAAAUUGAGAACCACAAGGAAUACGAGAUAGAAAAGGUAGUAGAUUUGUGGCGUAAGUAGGAGAAAUUGGAGUACCUAGUGUAUUAGAACAGCUAUGAUAUUAAUAAGCGCACAUAGGAACCAGAGGAAAAUCUUAUCAAUGUGUCACAAAAGAUAUAGAAGUUUCAUCGACGCUAUCCUCAGAAAUCUAAGCCCUUUCGAUGAAAGUUUUUCACUGAAGUCCCUUCUCCUCGAAGCCUCUUAAUCCUCAGCCUUACAAAGAAGGGAGAAAAGGAACCUCUAAAAGACAUAGUUAGAGACUAUAAAUCUGUAACCUGAGCCCAUUCUUCUAUGUUUAGUGCUUAUUUUUUUGGUCUAAUAUGAAUAGCAAAGAGAUAGAUACCAUAUCAAUCAUGUCCUCUCAAUCGAGUAUCCCACAAAGAUGACCCCGAAAUGAAAAACCACCUAUACGACAAAGACGAUGGAAGAUACCUAGUAACAGGUCGCUAGUGAUUGUGUUUGAGGUAGAACCUAUCUAUGGUGAUCUUCGCGAAGGAAUAUUUGUAGGGCAUUUUCACAAUGAAGACACGAAAGUUCAUGCUUAAUCAAAAAUUGAAGACGUAGGAUACUAUCAUUGGUUACAAGGACCAAUGAACUACUUGUCAUGCGAACAAUAAUUGGAGUAUAUUACAGACACUAUGCGAAAAAAAUUUAACUUCUUACAUUGGUACUGACUUGCAAUAGCAAUGCUUCUCAAAGACCUCAAAGCUAAAGAGGGAGUGAUGUCAAGGACAUAUACUAGGAAGUUGUAGAAGAUUCUAGAAGGUUCUAGAGAAGCUUUGUAGUUUGUAGAAGCUACUUGAGAAGUUUUCAAGCUCGUGGAAGCUGCUUGAGAAGCUUCCUAGUUGGUGGAAGCUACUUGAGAAGCUUUCUAGUUUAUAGUAUAUAUAGGAGCCGAGAUUGAGGGGAUCCUCAGUCUCGACAACACACCUCUUGGAGCUCCAGCUCACCUCUCUAGUGUUGUUCUUGUACUCAUCUGAUUAAUCUAGUUCUUGCUGAUUCUUCUUGAGCUUCUUGUUUAGAUUUCCAAUCAAUAUUCUAAAUUCGUGACAAUAUCAUGAGACUUAAAAGAAUUAUUCUUAAUAUCAUAAACAAGAAGAUUAGAUAACAUACUCAAUUGAAUUUGCUUGAGAAAGCUUGAAUCAACAGUCAAUACUGAUUUUAUUAACUUUUGAAAAUGCUCUAAUUUCAAGAGGAUUAUUCUUUAUUGAUCAAAAGCUACAUUUUUUUUUAAUAUAAGAUAAAAACUUCUAAAAAUGAUGUCUAACAAAUCUUAUUUUUUUUGGGAUCAAUAAAUAAUCUUAAAAUCAAAUCUUGAUAAAAACAUGCUCCAACAAGCUUGAUGAUGAUUCAAAAUAAAUAUCAAUAUGAAGUACUUCAGAUUCUUAUAAUCCAUAUAUAUAUUAUGACUGGAUUAAAAGUACCUUCUAGAUAAUGAUGCCAUUCUUGAAAUUAAUCCAUAAUUACAAAAAGUUCUUUAUCAUGGAUUUUGUAAUUAAUCUUAGCUGCUAAAAAUUUCCUAGAAUGAAAAGCUAUCAGAUGGAAUUUGUCGUCUUCUUCUAUUUGUGAUAAAAUAUCAUUCAUAGCAAAGUCUCAUGUAUUUGUUUUCAUAAAUAAUACCUUAGAGAAGUCAACGCAAUACAAGAUUAGAGAAGUAAACUUCUUUUUGGAGAAGUUGAUGCAAUAUAAGAUCUUUCUUUAAAGCAUCAAAGAAUGCUUUGGCUUCUUUAUUCUAUGUGAGUUUUUUUCACAAGUCAAACAAAUAAAUAGGGCUAUAAAUUGAAAAAAAAAAUCAUGAUGAAGAUUUUGUAAUAAUUAGCAAAAUUCAAAAAAUAUUGUAUAUCUUUUAUUGUUCUUAAAAUCUUUCAAUCUAUCAUAGUCUGAACUUUCUUUGAAUUCAUAAUUAGUCGUUUGUUAGAAAUGAUGUAUCCUAAGAAGUCAACUUGAGUAAUGUUGAAUAUAUAUUUUCUAUCUUUACAUAUAAUCUUACAUCUCUAAGUUUUUGUAACACACAAAAAAUAUAAAAUUCAUAUUUUUUUGUAUUCUUAGAAUAGCUUAGAAUAUCGUCUAAAUAGAAAAAAAAACAAAAUUAAAAAAAUAUAUAAAAUACAUCAUUUAUAAGAUGUUCAAAAAGAAUUAGUUUGUUUGUGAGUCCAAAAGGCAUGACAUUAUAUUUGAAAUGUCCAUACUUAGUUCAAAAAGUAGUCUUCUAUUCAUUUCUUUCUUUGAUGUAGACCAAGUUGUGUACUCUUCAUAGAUCUAUUUUUAUAUAGAUCUUUGCUUGAUUGAGUUGGUCAAGAAAUCUUAAAAUUAAAAAUAAGAAAUAUCUAUUUUUUAUGGUGAUUUUAUUAAGUUUUCAAUAAUCUAUGUAUAUCCACAAAGAUCCAUUUUUUUUCUUUACAAAUAACAUAAGAGCUCUUGCUAGAGAUUUCAAAUUGCAUAUGAAGUUUUUAGCCAAGUUCUCAUGAAUGUAUUCCUUUAGUAUAGCCAACUCAUUCUGCAAUAAGCUAUAGAUUGGUCCAAAUGGUGGUUAAGCUCCUUCUUGAAAAUCAAUUGAACAAUCAUAAGGUCAAUGUUCUAAAAAAAUAUCUAAUUUCAUUUUCAAAAAUAUCUUUAAAAUCUUAAUAAUAGCUAGGAAUACCACUUGACAUCUUUCUAUUAUCAAAAAUGAAUAUGGCAUAUGUAACAAAAGAUGAUCUUUCUUUUGUAACAUACAUAAAAGCUCUAUUACUUAUCAACAAGGAUUUGAAUAUACUAGACUUAUGUAUUUUUACUUAAUUAAUAAAAUUUUAGAUUAAACUACUAAAAAAAUUAAGAUUAUAAGAAAUCUAAUAUAUCUGAGGAUUAUAUUUUUUAACUACAAUAAUUCUAAAAUAAUCAAAUUAUAUAGAAAUCUUAUCACAUUAAAUAUUACUAUACUAUUAUAAUCUUUAUUUACUACAUCUAAAGGAACAAUUUCAUGGAUAACAUCUUCAAAAGACAAAAAAUAACCAUCUGUGACUUUUACAUGUAUAGAUUUAGUUUUCUUGAUUAAAUAUAUUUCUUAUUUUUUGACAAAGACUUUGUAUAUAAAAGAGAUUGAGGCUCUUGAAUCUAAUAAUGCAUAGACUUUGUAAUUUUUAGGUCUUAAACACACAUCUAUUAUAAAACAAGAUGAGGGAUCUAAGGAGAGAAUAGGACCUUUACUAGAUGUUGCACAUGAUUUGAGCUGUAUAGUCUUUAUUGUAAUUGGAAAAACUUAUUUUUCAAUACAGUAUCUUCUUUGGCAAUUGUGCUCUUCAUUUUGUAAUUACAUUGCUUCUUUGGAUAAUAUUAAGUAGUAUAUUUAGCUUCUGCAUAAUAUAAGUAUAAACCCUUUUGAUGACAUCUAAUUUUUUCCUACUUUGUGAUAAAUUUAAACGUACUGUGUCAAUUUGUAUUGAUUCUAGUCUUGAUGAAUAAGUUUUUGAAAACUUAGGAGCUGCCAUCAUUACUUGAUUUAUUCUUCUUAAGUCAAAUCUUUAUUCUUGAUGUCUUUUAAAUAAUCAAUUAUUGCAUAUAAUGACUUAAACAAUAAAUUAUUUCAAAGAAUUUUCUUUUGGCAUUGUCAAUAACAAAUCUUUGAUGUUAUCCUUUAACAUAUAUCAAAAUUGAUUGAUAAGGACUUUGUCAUUUUAGUCCAUUUUGCAAGCAAGGUUAUGAAAGUCAACAACAUAUAUAAUGGAUGACCAUAAUCUUUAUCGUAAAGAUAAGAGUUUGGUCUCUUUUAUUCUUUUUUGAUCACUUUUUCCAAAUAUGACCAUAAACACUUCUAAGAAUGAAUUCAAAUCAUAAAAUAAUCAUGAAUCCUUUUCUUUCAAAGGUGCAAACCAAGAGAGAGUACUUUUAGAUAGAAAUGCGCCUAUAAAUCUAACAUGGGUAAAUUCAUUAGGAUAUUGGAAAAGAUGCAAUCUUAGAUAAAACUUGACUUCUUGGAAAAAUCUUCAAAAUUUUGAUCUUAUUGUAUCAAACUUCUUGAGCAUAUUAAUUCUUAUUUUUUUGUAUUUAUUAAAAAAAAUCUUAAUUUUAAUUAAGAAAUCAAUCUACUUACUUCUUUCAAUUAUGCAACUUUUUAAUAUAGACUUUGGACUUCUUCUUUAGGCAUAGGAUUAGUGUUUUUAUAAUUGGCAUUGAUGAUGUGUGAAAUUUCUACCAUAAGAGUAUUAACAAGCUUAUGAAGAUUUACAAUAGUUAUAAAUUUAUUUUCACUUCUGCUAAAAGUAGCAUCUAUAAUCUUUCUUUAUAUUUCAAACAACUCAACAAAUAUAUAAGUCAAAUUAAAAGAGAAUAAUCCUCAACUUCUAAUGUUGAAUAAAAAUUUCUAUAAAGAAAGAUAAUUUGCUCUCUUUAAAAUAAAAUAUUAAAUAAAUAAAUAAUAUUAAAUUUUUAUUUAUUUAGUUAAAAGUAGGUAGUCAGUAACCUUCAAAAUAUAAUAAUAGAAGUAUGAUAAUCCAUCCACUUCUAAAUCAAGAUAAAAAAUAAUGAAUUAGCACUUUUAUCAAACUAUUAAGGACAUGAAUCUCAAAGAAAGAAAAUCUCAAUACACUCUUGUGUCACCCAAAAAGACUAGAAAAUCACAUAAAGAUGAUAAUAUAUUGAACUAAAAUGGUUAUUGCUAAAGAUAAGAAGACUUGAAAGUCUAAAAACAAGCCUAAGGACUAAAAAGGCAUUGACAAGUGUAAAGAAGGCUUCACUCUUGCCUCCAUAUAUACUAUCUAAUAUAAUCCACAUAAUUUUAUUUAUUUUUCUACUAUAAUAUUUAUAAAAUUCUUAAAUAGAUAAACUUCUUUUAUUUUUCAAAACUUAUAAUCAUUCAAAAUAUUUUUAAUUUUGAAAAAUUCUUAGAGAUUCAAAACUAAACCAAAUUACUUAAUAUGAAUGCUCAAACAACUUAUUAAAAGUCUUUUUAUUAAUUUUUUUUUCAAUUAGCAAAAUAACCCCGAAAUUGUUGUAAAUGUGUAGUUUUGUAUAUUAAGGUCUUAUAUUGAUCUUGAUUCAUAAUUGGUCCUUUUUGAGUAUCAACAUUUGAUUUCUUAAGAUAAUUUUUUUUAUAAAAUAUUUUUAAUUCUUUCUUUAAGAUGAUUAUAUUAUUUAUUUUUCUAAUAUUUUUUUUGUCUUAUUAUGGUCUUAUAAAAUAUAUAGAAGCCAUUUCAUAAAAAGACAACAUUACCACUAAAUAUUUUAACUACUAUCCUAUCUUUUGCCUAUAUUUUGGUACUUUAUUUUUUAAUUAGAAUUUUCUAUAAUAGCAUCUAUGUUUUAUGUGUAUAUGUUGUGAAGCCACAUGCAGGUUGUAGAAUUUACUACACACAAAUCAUGCUAAAAUUUGGUGAAUACUGAAAUGCAAGUAAAGAACAUGGAUACUGUAAUAAUGAGUUUGCGAACUUUCUUUUAACUGUAUGUGAACAUGUUUGUUAAAUGUUUGUUAAAUGUUUGUUUUUGGUUUUUUUCAAAGUCGCAGUAGGAGUACACCCAAUGCGUUAAUAGAACAAAAACACUACAUGGCUGCAAAGACCCAAACACCUUGUCAACAGGGUUUGGGAGCACCAAAACACCAAAGCAGUUGUUCAAGAAUUAAUAAAAAAUUCAUAAAAUGUAUCGUUGGCUGCGCAGUAAACCACGAUCAGUCUGCACUAAUUAACACAGUCGCAAGAAACUUAAAGGUGGGGUAACCUACUGAAGAGCAGGUCCUGUCGUUCCUGUCCCUUCAACGUUGAAAAGAUGACAGGAGGCCGGUAGGAGCGAAGAGGUAAUUUCAAUAAUAUCAUUGUCAAACCAGAAAAUCAGGGCAGCCAUAUUUAUAUUAUUUACAUUUUAAUUCAGAUGAACUCAGUGAAAAUGGAUAUACGACAGUGAAAAAAUUGUUAUCUAAGUAAUUGAGAUGUAUACGGUUAGUACCUAUUACUGGACAGUGACCACAACAGAUUUCUAGCCACCGUUUCAAUCAAUCAAUCGUUUUUUGUCAAGCGCUAGAUGAGUUUAGGAUUAAAAUUAAGGGUAUUCUACAUGGAAUUCUGGUCCUGCAACCAUUUACUUGAAAUCACAAUAGUCUCAAUAAAUUGAACAGUUGUCUUAGUAUAUUACAAUACUUUCUGCAAACUCAUUCACUACCACAUACAAAAUGAUCCAAUAAAAGGAUUGUAGCAUUCAUGCGCAAAACCCACUUCACACUAACAAAAGCACAUUCAAGCCCGACAAAGACAUCAAAAUGAUCGUUAUCACAAACUACCGUUCCUCAGGAAAAGAAAAAAGAAAAGAAAAAAAAAAAAAAAAAGGGGGGACUGCUACAGAAGCAAUCCCGUUUCAAAAGGAAAUAGGAAGUUUCUAAAACUGAAAAACACAUCUUCACAUAAAGAUGGAGUGCUACACACAACCGCUGCACUUCAUUUAGUGAACGAACUGAACUCAUCGUCGCAAGAAUCCUGGGACAGAUAUACACGUGACCAAGGCAUCGUCAGGUUUUUCAACGACGGUAUGGUGAGUAGCGCGGUGACCGGGAGCGUUCACGACGAUAUCCGCGGUAUGGAGAAUGUCGAGGAGAGCGUUCUCUGUCCCGACCAUCUCUACCUCGGUAAGGUGAGUACCGUGGAGCACGACGAUCACUGUAGCUAUCUCUGCCUCCAUUUCGUCCUCCAUAGUCUCCUCCGUAACCACGCGAGUGAGCUUGCACGGCAGCUACAAGUGUCAGAAAUGAGCAUAGAUCAGGAGACACCACUCUCUCACAAGCAUUCCAGGCGUUUUAUCAACACCCACCACAUGACAGCAAUGCUCCUAAAACGCAAUCCAAGCAAAGACUGCGGAGAAAAGGAAAAAAACAAAAAAAGCGAGUAUAUCCAUUCAAGUGCAAACUAGACCAUCAAUUAACCUAGAAUAGUUACGUAACUAUCCACUAUUAUCAAAAAAGGUAAUUCAGAUACACACCUCGUACACCAAGAUAUUCCCCAGGAGUUGGAGUCCUAGCUCGUUUCCUCUUUGCCUGCACAUCAAAAUGUCCAAAUCAAGAUACUAAAGUAUAAACGGGAAUAACCUUUCUCCUCGACGAGACUAGCGUAAAUCUGCUCACAGCAUUCAAAUUUAAGAUUUCUAAAAUGUGAGUCGAGACUUUCAAAACUAGCACUGGAUAGUGAAAACAAUCACAUGGUUUACUUAGACUAACGUUGCAAAAUGUCAACGACACUAUCUAUUUGGUAGGAGCUAAAUAAGCCAGCGGACAUCUAUGGACGAAUAAGACGAAUUGGUCAAGAGACAGGUCAGAAACAUACAUGAGCAUGCACAGAAAAAUGUAAUAAAAUUGAGCCAAUCUUGCCGUCAGGCAUCUGAGAAGUAGGUCAUGUUAAAUAGACUUAUCGGGACUUGAACAAAACAAACUGUACUAUAAUCAAGGAGAUAGUAAGACCAUGUGGGGAACGAGGAGGUCAUCCAACUGGAGUGACUGGCGAUAACAUCCAAGUUGAAGCAAAUGCUGCCCCAACCCACCUCAAAGAACAAAUGACCCGCAGGGACUCGUAAAACUGGAGGAGGAGAUAUAACAGAUUGGGUUGAAACAAUUUGGACAACUCUGUUGCAGAAGUAGUUGUGAUGCUAUACUUGUGCAAUGGCUUGGGGGUUGACUGGCCCGCUGAGACUUAGCACCACCAGCAUGGCAAACUCGAGUGGUUGAUGCAAAUUUGAUCUGACUGAGGCAAACAACUGAAGCUGUCUUGCCGUCAACAUCAACCGAGGAUUGCAAGCUUGGCUUGAAAGGAUGCAAAAGGAGUGUGCUGAAGCAGAGUCCAGCAUCAAGCUUUGAUCAUAUCGACUUGACAUUUGAAUAUUACUUUCGAUUCGAUGACAAAAACGAGUGAAUUGCGAUCUGAUGUGAGAAUGGCAUGCAAAGCUCCAAAUUGGCGACUCGAUUGCCUCAGUGAACCAGCAUUAAGAUUCCCUGCACAAACUUCGUAGUGGACUGCAAACUCGCUAAAGCACACCGGGUCGCACAAUCUAAACCACUGGAAAGUUGACUGCCACAAUAGUCGAAUAUUCUCUGGUCGACCAAAAGGUUCAAGGAAUACACGGAAUCGCAUUAGCACUACUGUAAGAAAUUUUAGUACUUACUCUUCAAUGUCGGGUAUGAUUGUCACAUUCUAGAGCCAUUAGCCAUCCAGUGAAAAAUUUUGCCCGACCUCAUCUCAUUGGUAUUCAGCAGCUGAUAAUACGACUUGAAGAGUCUCAAUGUGCUCUUCUCGACACGAAGCAAGAAAGUGUUAAACAAUGGG
rnacentral:lncRNA from 1 species